UUGAACGCUGGCGGCAUGGUUAAAGCAUGCAAGUCGAACGGACCCGCAAGGGUCAGUGGCGGAAGGGUGAGUAAUACGAUCGAACGUGCCCCGAGGUGGGGGAUAGGCAUGGGAAACUGUGCGUAAUACCCCAUGAUGUCGAGAGACCAAAGGUUUACCGCCUUGGGAGCGGCGAUCGUCCUAUCAGGUAGUUGGCGGGGUAACGGCCCACCAAGCCGAAGACGGGUAGCAGGCGUGAGAGCGCGGCCUGCCACAUCGAAACUGAGACACUGUUCGGACUCCUACGGGAGGCUGCAGCGACGAAUCUUCCGCAAUGGGCGAAAGCCUGACGGAGCGAUGCCGCGUGUGGGAUGAAGCGGCUUUGCCGUGUAAACCACUGUCAGGAGGUCGAAAUACUGAUCACCUCCAAAGGAAGGGGCGACUAACUCUGUGCCAGCCGCCGCGGUAAU
rnacentral:rRNA from 1 species